GGAGGUACAGCCCAGUGGUGGAGCAUGCGCUUAGCAUGCACAAGGUCCUGGGUUCAAGCCCCAGUGCCGCUA
rnacentral:tRNA from 1 species